CACGGGGGGAGCAAGCGUUGUUCGGAAUCACUGGGCGUAAAGGGCGUGUAGGCGGUCAAGUAAGUGGAAUGUGAAAGCCCCCCGGCUUACCCGGGGAUCUGCAUCCCAAACUGCUUGGCUUGAGUACGGGAGAGGAUAGGGGAAUUCCUGGUGUAGCGGUGAAAUGCGUAGAUAUCAGGAGGAACACCGGUGGCGAAGGCGGCCUACUCGUGGCCCGAUACUGACGC
rnacentral:rRNA from 1 species